AGUCGAGCGAGUCUGCCUUGAAGAUCGGAGUGCUUGCACUCUGUGAAACAAGAUACAGGCUAGCGGCGGACGGGUGAGUAACACGUGGGUAACCUGCCCAGGAGAUCGGGAUAACACCUGGAAACAGAUGCUAAUACCGGAUAACAACAGAUGAUGCCUAUCAACUGUUUAAAAGAUGGUUCUGCUAUCACUCUUGGAUGGACCUGCGGUGCAUUAGCUAGUUGGUAGGGUAACGGCCUACCAAGGCGAUGAUGCAUAGCCGAGUUGAGAGACUGAUCGGCCACAUUGGGACUGAGACACGGCCCAAACUCCUACGGGAGGCAGCAGUAGGGAAUCUUCCACAAUGGACGCAAGUCUGAUGGAGCAACGCCGCGUGAGUGAAGAAGGGUUUCGGCUCGUAAAGCUCUGUUGUUGGUGAAGAAGGACGGGGGUAGUAACUGACCUUUGUUUGACGGUAAUCAAUUAGAAAGUCACGGCUAACUACGUGCCAGCAGCCGCGGUAAUACGUAGGUGGCAAGCGUUGUCCGGAUUUAUUGGGCGUAAAGCGAGUGCAGGCGGUUCGAUAAGUCUGAUGUGAAAGCCUUCGGCUCAACCGGAGAAUUGCAUCAGAAACUGUCGAGCUUGAGUACAGAAGAGGAGAGUGGAACUCCAUGUGUAGCGGUGAAAUGCGUAGAUAUAUGGAAGAACACCGGUGGCGAAGGCGGCUCUCUGGUCUGUUACUGACGCUGAGGCUCGAAAGCAUGGGUAGCGA
rnacentral:rRNA from 1 species